rnacentral:rRNA from 1 species
UACGUAGGUGGCGAGCGUUAUCCGGAUUUACUGGGUGUAAAGGGCGUGUAGGCGGCUCUGCAGGUCAGAUGUGAAAUUUCCGGGCUUAACCCGGACGGGUCAUCUGAAACUGCAGGACUUGAGUACUGGAGAGGAUAGCGGAAUUCCUAGUGUAGCGGUAAAAUGCGUAGAUAUUAGGAGGAACACCGGUGGCCAAGGCGGCUAUCUGGACAGUAACUGACGCUGAGGCGCGAAAAGCGUGGGGAGCAAACAGGAUUAGAUACCCUGGUAGU